rnacentral:lncRNA from 1 species
CCAAGACUUCAACCAAGGAAACACAAGUUCCUUACAACAAGAGAAUCACAAUUCUCUUACAAGUGUAUAAAACACUAAACACUCAAACAAAAUACUCUUUAAUGAGUACAUAUGAGUAAAAGAAGUAAGCUCUAGAUCACAACAACUUUGGUACAAGAAUAUGGCUCUCAAAAGCUUUAUGAAAUUGAAUAUAAAAUGAUAAACAAAAGUAU